rnacentral:rRNA from 2 species
CUGGUGUCAGCCGCCGCGGUAAUACCAGCACCUCGAGUGGUCAGGACGUUUAUUGGGCCUAAAGCAUCCGUAGCCGGCUCUGCAAGUCUUCGGUUAAAUCCACCUGCUCAACAGAUGGGCUGCUGGAGAUACUACAGAGCUAGGGAGUGGGAGAGGCAGACGGUAUUCAGUGGGUAGGGGUAAAAUCCUCUGAUCCAUUGAGGACCACCAGUGGCGAAGGCGGUCUGCCAGAACACGUUCGACGGUGAGGGAUGAAAGCUGGGGGAGCAAACCGGAUUAGAUACCCGGGUAGUCCCAGCUGUAAACGAUGCAAACUCGGUGAUGCAUUGGCUUAUGGCCAAUGCAGUGCCGCAGGGAAGCCGUUAAGUUUGCCGCCUGGGAAGUACGGACGCAAGUCUGAAACUCAAAGGAAUUGGCGGGGGAGCACCACAAGGGGUGAAGCCUGCGGUUCAAUUGGAGUCAACGCCAGGAAUCUUACCCGGGGAGACAGCAGAAUGAAGGUCAAGCUGAAGACUUUACCAGACAAGCU